GUGAGAACGCGGAGCCGCUGCCGCCACCACCGCCGCCACCGCCGAGAAGCCCUUGCUCCCGCUGCGGGGAGGAGAGUCUGCUGCCGAUAAGAUGGCGGACGGGGAGCUGAACGUGGACAGCCUCAUCACCCGCCUGCUGGAGGGCUGUAUUUGCCGCAGCUUUACAGCAUCUUCUGCUUUGCUGACCAGAAACCAUAUUAAUUAUGGAGUCAAAGGGGAUGUGGCGGUUAUUCGGAUUAACUCACCCAAUUCUAAGGUAAAUACAUUGAAUAAAGAAGUACAAGCAGAGUUUGCAGAAGUUAUGAAUGAAAUCUGGGCCAAUGACCAAAUCAGAAGUGCUGUCCUUAUUUCAUCAAAGCCCGGCUGCUUUGUCGCAGGUGCUGAUAUCAACAUGCUAGCCUCUUGUACAACUCCGCAAGAAGCAACACGAAUAUCACAGGAAGGACAGAGAAUGUUUGAGAAACUUGAAAAGUCCUCAAAGCCCGUUGUAGCCGCCAUCAGUGGAUCCUGCUUGGGAGGAGGACUUGAGCUCGCCUUAGCAUGCCAAUACAGAGUAGCAACAAAGGACAAAAAAACAGUAUUGGGCGUCCCUGAAGUGUUACUGGGACUCUUACCAGGAGCUGGAGGUACCCAGAGACUGCCCAAAAUGGUGGGUGUUCCUGCUGCGUUUGACAUGAUGCUGACUGGUAGAAACAUUCGUGCAGACAGAGCAAAGAAAAUGGGAUUGGUUGACCAGUUGGUGGAACCCCUGGACCACUAACAUGGAUAAAAGGAAAUCAAGUGUAUCUCUGAGUCGUAUGGACAUCUCCAGCAAAUUAAUUGAAUCCAAGGAAGAUGUCAUGGGAAUCUUGGAUAACUGAAGUUCCAGCAUGAGCUAAGCACCAAGUGGGUGUUGAAUACAGUGAGUACCGGGGCCGACGUGCUGCUGGGGAAGACCUUACAGAACCACAUGCUGGACUUCCACAUCGCCAACUCCAAGCUCUUUUGGAAGGCACUGGCCAUGUUGCAGGUGAUCGCCACAGCCUUGCUGAGCCUUUUACAACGCUGCUCCAUCACAGAGGCUAAGGCACGCCUGGCUGCAGCUCCUUCCGUCUAUGAGGUUAUCAGGAGCGCCCUCUCUGGGCCGGGUCAGAAGCGUACCACCCGAGCACUUGCGGACCCAACAGCCUAUAGUGCAGUAAAUUGAUGUUUCUGGGACCGUGAAGAGCCUCUGCCAUCGGUCCAGUCCCACGAAGACUUGUGCCAGCGAUACACGUGGUGGUGGGACAA